rnacentral:tRNA from 2 species
GGCACUAUGGCCGAGUGGUUAAGGCGCUGUGUUUAGGCCGCAGUGGGAAACCGCAUGGGUUCAAAUCCCAUUGGUGUCA